rnacentral:rRNA from 1 species
CCCGGGUCUUGUACACACCGCCCGUCACACCAUGGGAGCGGGAAUGUACCAGAAGUAGGUAGGCUAACCGCUAAGGGGCCGCUUACCACGGUGCGUUCGUGACUGGGGUGAAGUCGUAAACAAGGUACCC